GGGAUGUUAGCUCAGUUGGUUAGAGCAGAGGACUCAUAAUCCUUUGGUCGUAGGUUCAAGUCCUACACGUCCCACCA
rnacentral:tRNA from 2 species